CAAAUGGGAGGGGACGUGUUCCCACCUGGUCGUCUCCCCGUCCUGUAGCCAAACCAGACAGAAGCAGCACCUAUGCCAAGCCUCAGCAAGGUGGGAGAACCCGCAGCCCCCCUCCCCUUCUGCAAACCAGAACCCAGCUGCAGACAAAGCUGGAUGCUGCGUGGACCCCGGCCUGCUGGAGCUGGAGUCGGGCCAUCUGAAGGCCGUGUGGCCUGGAUCCAGCUGUGCUGCUCUCUCUGAGUGCCCACCCUCUCUGGUCCCAGCAGGCAGCUUUGCACCACAGAGGCAGGAAGCAAGCUAGACACAGCCGGCCCUGCUUCCUGCCCCUGUGCAGCCUCUGGAGAGGGGAGGUGAGAGCAGAGCCGCUGGGAUCUCCCUAGUUUCUGGCCGCCUCCUCCCUGACAGUCAUCGCCAGAUUGUUUAUCUGCUAACAGAACCCAGAUUUGUCCCCCAGGACCUCCAGUCCCUCUGCAGGCCAGGACCUCGCUCCUCCCCAACCUUCCUUAGCAUUUCCCCACCCAAACCCCAGACGAACAUACAGGAAGGAGAGACAGGGAGCUGCCUCCAAACGCGGCCGUGCACCCGCCCACCCCCUCCUGAAGGCCACAUCCGUGUCACUGACACAUAUCGGGGGCUUUCUGGGUUUCUUUAGCCGGGCGGCCCUGAGCAGCCUGGCCCAUCCAGCCUCUCUGAGCUCCAUCUGGGUAACAUCCGUCAUGCAGGGCGACAUCUCCUCCAGCAUGAGCGCUGGAGGGCUCUGGAGGCCCGGCCCCCGCUGCCACUACAUGGCUUACAGCCCUGCAAACAAGCAGGGUGGUCAUGCACUGAGGUUCUCAAUGGGCGAUCCUGCCCCCAGCGGACCCUUGGCCAUGUCUGAACACACUUGUGGCUGUCACGACGGUGGGUGCCACUGGCACCUAGUGGGCGGCAGCCAGGGAGGCGGCCACACACCUGUGUCACACAGGAGGGCCCUCACAGCAGAGAGGAUCUCCUCCAAACGUCAGUAGUGCUGAGGUUGGGAGACCCUGUAACAGAGCCGCCCGCACUAUGGCGAGGAUUACAUGGGAAAGUGUGCUGUGAUGUUCUCGGAACAGUGUCUGGCACACAGGAAGCCCUCGGCAAACAGGGGCUGCUGUGUUUACCAUCCUCAUCUCAGCCUCGAGAAGUCAAAGCAGAUGCCAAGAUGCCUGUUUUCCAACAAGGAAACAAAGCCCAGAAGAGGGUCGUGCUGGCCCAGAACUAGAAUCUGGGCCCCGAUCCUGGUCUCUGAGGGAGCCUCCUGCCUGGGGCCAGGUCCCAUGGAGUGCUGGCUCCGGACACUACCACCAUCUCAGAAGGGACGGGCUCUGGCCCCCAGGAUACAGGCUUUCUAGAGUUGGUGGGGGACAUGUGGGGUGCUGUUUGGGGACUGGCUGUGCUCCCACCCCAGCAGCCCCUCCUCCCACGCCCACAAUGGCAGCUGGGAGGCUGCCACACGGAGCUCUCCGGAGCCAGCUACUGCUCAGCAGAGCUCGGCCCUCCCGUUUCCAGGAGGUCACUUGGCCUCGGGAGGGCUGCCCCGCGCCUUUCAGGAGGGGAUACAAUAGGUGGCGAUGCAGGCAGUGAGGCCAAGGCCACCUUCCCUGGGACUGAGUCCCUGGCAUGCACCAGGCACCGAGGAGGGAUGGAAGACGCUGUGACUUUGAUCCACAUGACCUCUCCAAGCUCCCAACAGCCUGUAGGAGGGCCGCCUGGUCCCACUGUCCCCCCUUCACAGUUGGGGACCGAGGCCCAGGGAGGCAAAGGAACCUGCCCGAGAGCCCCCAGCCCCCAGAUCCCCCGGCGCACCCCUCACACCAUGCUGCCACCCACGACCCAGAGGACGUGGCCAGCUGGAACCUACCAGGUGCCCUGCGGCUCUCAGUAGCUUGUGGGUGGAGAACGGGAAGGCCUCGUUGCUCAGGUCUGCGUCCAGCACCUCCUGCAAAAUGGCUCGGCUGCAGGCAAGAGCAAAGUCGCUCAGUCAGCAAGUGCUCACGGGUGGGGCCUGGGCAGGAAAGGCCCCGGGGACCUGCCAUGAGUGGGAUAAGUCCCUGUCCUCAUGAGACAGAUGACAAUAAACAUGGAUUAAUAAAAAUACACCAAGAC
rnacentral:lncRNA from 1 species